rnacentral:rRNA from 1 species
AUUGAACGCUAGCGGGAUGCUUUACACAUGCAAGUCGAACGAGUGGCGGACGGGUGAGUAAUAUAUCGGCACGUGCCCAGUCGCGGGGGAUGACUACUCGAAAGAGUGGCUAAUACCGCAUACUAUUCGUUCGGCCGAUAUCGGAUUAGCGAGUUGGUGGGGUAAAGGCUCACAACGGCAACGUGCCGUAGCUGGUUUGAGAGGCCGACCAGCCACACUGGGACUGAGACACGGCCCAGACUCCUACGGGAGGCAGCAGUGGGGAAUUUUGGACAAUGGGGGAAACCCUGAUCCAGCCAUCCCGCGUGUAUGAGAAGGCCUUCGGGUUGUAAAGUACUUUUGGCAGAGAAGCGGUAUCUGCAGAAUAAGCACCGGCUAACUACGUGCCAGCCGCCGCGGUAAUAC